rnacentral:lncRNA from 1 species
CCUCACUCCCUUCCCUCCUCUCUCUAUUUGCCUCUUUUUCACUCGCUCACUCAAUAAUGUUUGCUACUUGCUGUGUUCUAUAUGCCAAACCAAUGUGCCACACACCAGGAUACCGAGCAAUAGGCCAUCGUUGUCACAAAUAACACAUUGAGGUAAGAUUGUGAUAGUAUUAUGAUGACAUUUGGUCAUGGAACACAGAAAGAUCUCUGUGCUGUGCCAGCCACACUUCCCUGCAAGGUCCCCAAGGGAAAUAUAUGUAUGAAGAAUGGAGUGGUGAAAAGCAGAGUGUCUCUGUCGGCCAAGAUCAGGAAGUUGUGUUAGACCAUGUGGAGGGCCCCUUCUUGCCUCACUAGGAAGGUGCAAGUAACUCAAGCCGGAGCAGGCCAAAGGCCUUACCUUCCACUGGGAGGAGGUGGGAUACGAUGCAAAUGGGAGAUGUUGGUGAAGAUGGCGAAAGAGCACAGAGGUGGGAGUGAGGGAACCCGGAGACUUCGCUCCCCCAUUGGAGCUGAGAGGGACUCUGCCACCCCUGAUUUUGGAAGAGAAGAAUGUUUUCCUCUUUUGAGUAACCCCUUGUUUGGGGACUGGUAUUGCCUGAAUCCCUGUGUCUAGUUCAAGGAACUGUGCAUCCCUGCUGUCUUGUUUUCUCCCUGGUUUGAGAAGCAAAUCUGGACGGCCAGCGGCUCAUUUCCUCUGCCUUCCCGGCAGCUUUCAAGAGUGCUGGCUCGGCAGUCACAGUAAGAUCAACGGUGAACAGGCCACUAGGCUUCAAAGGCCCCAUCCCUAACAAGGCUGCUUGAGCCACCAGGGAGCGUCCCUUGGUCUGCAGGCACAAAGCUGUUCCCUGGCCCUCUAAAUGUGUAGGGCAUUCCAGAGACACGCCCUUUGGUGGGAACCUUGGGGAGCGUGUAUGUGGACCUUCUACACUUGGCCUGAGCUGUGGGAUGGUGAGCGUCCAGGGCUUACAUGUGCUCAGCUGCUUCUCCACUUCCAAGUUUGCCCCCAUACCUUCUAUUUUAUAUCUCUACCGCAUGAUCCCUUUGCUUCUUGGGAAUUGAGGUCCUUUUUGAAAUGAGGUUCAGGCUUUCCAGGCACCUGGAAUGGCAGAGGGACAAUCCCCCCACCAUGAGGGAUUAACACUAAAGAGAAGUUUUCCCUCAGAGUAGACGGACAUGGCCUGUCGGCAGGAGAAAGAACGAGAAGGAGGGAGGCAAGAAAGAUAAUUAAUCUUUCUUGAUGCUGAAGAGAAGCUGAUUUCCAGCCUUUUCCUUUGAAAGGGAUGCUGUUGAUUGAUACUUUUCUCCUCACUUCCAGAAGCUUCCUAGAGCUGCUGGGUUGCUUGGGGCUGUCUGGUUUUCUCUUUGUUGUCAAGGAAAAUAAAGACAGGGUUGCAGAGGGAAGGAAGGUUCUC